CUUGCACACUGAGCUACCGAGCUGGAUAAAUAUUGAACACAACCUCUGGGAUCUUGUGAUCUGGCUUUCAAAGUGCUGGUGUUUGAACUCCGUGACCUUGCACAUGCUAACUACAUGUCUCACCAGUGAACUGCACUCCAACCCUCUGUGCUUCACUUCCCCACCUGUCAAGCAGCUGCUACUUCAUAAUCCCUUCCUUCAUAAGAAUCACAUCCAGCAGAAGCAUUUUCUCUGUGUUGUAAUUACUGAAUCCUACAAGGGGGACCUAAAGAGGUGGCAAGAGCAUAACUCUUCAACUGCCCAUCCUUAGAAAUGAUAAGAUACUCAACAAAGUGUGCCCACAUGUGGCUGAUGGAGUGGGCUGUAUUUCAGAAGUAGGA
ensembl:lncRNA